rnacentral:rRNA from 1 species
GUUGGGCCCGGGUAGUACUUGGAAGGGAGACCGCCUGGGAACACCGGGUGUUGAUGGCA